AUACAGAUUGUGUUCUCAAUGUCCAUAGCUGCCGCAGGUGUUUACGGUGGAGGUGUCGCCAUCAAAAACCAUCAGCAAAAACACCACCAAGUCAAUGAUACAAGUACAAGAGGAAGUUUUGCCAUGCAAUAGUCGACCGCUAACGCCCUUUUCGAUCAAUUUCGUAAGUACGUAUCGAAACAGUCAUAUCGUUGCCAACUAGCUUAAUCCUCAUCUUCUAGGUGUAAAGAGUACUACCAGAGACGCAAGAAAAGCAAGAAUACAAUCCCAAAAGUUUCAGCCUUGACUGUAAAUUAAGUGAAUUCAAUUCAAACACUAAGGAUUGCACUGGCUUAACGGUGGCAAUCAUUCGGAGGCAAAUGGGCUGGCCUGACAAGAAUCCCCUUUAAGUUAAACAAAUUCAGAUCAGUCUCUCGGCGACCACUGACGAUGUCGGCGAGUUGAAUCCAUCGAUUUUCACACAGAAAAUUAACAUCAAAAACAUCAAGAAAAUUCAGCAGCGUCAUGGCCAACCUGCCUAUUAACCAAACCAUCUCUAUUCGCAGUGGAAGUGUUUGUGGAUCAAGCGAUCUCUGCGUGUCAACAAUGCGAACACAAUGUCAUUAGGCUGGAGUACCAACCUGGACCCUUGUAUUGCAAAAGCGCGCGAAGAUCAGUGUAACUGCGGUGCAGCGGCUACUGCAGCCGCUGAGGCUGACACCGCCUGGAAGAGGUAGGUGAUACGAAUGCCGGUUGAGAAGGAAAUUGUUGGGACAGUAUAGUACCUCCUCAAUGACGGGAGUCGCAAGUCAUUGAAUUAACUGGAAACGACACAAGAAUGCCCCUACAAACUGCCCUUAUGAUGUUCCAAGAGUUGCUGCGCAAAUGGUCGCGAGCCGGCAACCUUCAUAUAGUGAAAAUAUCGGAUUGGAAUUUGUCAACCCCAACAACUACUUCACACUACAAAUCAAAGCGAAGCUAAGAAGUCGAUAUGCCGUUCAGUUGGUUCGACGAUAUCUUCGAAUCUCAUCCAUGAUACGUCGUCGUUGCGUAUCUAGUUUUUAAAUUAAGUUAUAUUUUUUUCAAAAUUGUUUGUAAUUGAGUAUAUUUUUUGUUUUUAAAAUUCAAUUCCAUUAUAGAUUAUAGGUUUUAUUUAAAAUGUAUAUUACAGCUAGGUUCCUAAAUUUAUUUCUAUGUAUGUAUAUCUAGAAAAUAAUCUUUUUUUUCAAACAACUUGUUUAUUUAUUUUGAGCUAUAGUGUAAUUUUGUAUAUAUUGUAUAUUCUACUGUUUCUUUGCUGACUAGGAUUAUUUUUAUUCAAAAUUAUUUAUGAUUUGCUUUACUUUAAUAAUAAAGGAAUUUGUUUUGAAUUCAAA